rnacentral:rRNA from 1 species
AUUGAACGCUGGCGGCGUGCCUAAUACAUGCAAGUCGAACGCAGUGGGGACGGUUGAGUAACACGUGGGUAACCUCCCAUCAGAGGGGAUAACACUUGGAAACAGGUGCUAAACCGAUACUGAUGGAUGAACUCGCGGUGCUUUAGCUAGUUGGUGAGGUAACGGCCGACCAAGGCCACGAUGCAUAGCCGACCUGGGAGGGUGAUCGGCCACACUGGGACUGGGACACGGCCCAGACUCCUAAGGGAGGCAGCAGUAGGGAAUCUUCGGCAAUGGAGGGCAGGCUGAACGCGCACAGCCGCGUGAGUGAAGAAGGUUUUCGGGGCGUAAAGCUCUGUUGUUAGAGAAGCGGUAACUAACCAGAAAGGGACGGCUAACUACGUGCCAGCAGCCGCGGUAAUUC